rnacentral:misc_RNA from 1 species
CGUUCCCAUGGAUAUCUCUGCAGCCUCCUUUACUUUUUCCUCUACAUCUUCUGAUAAUAUAUCAGAUAAAUCUGAAUUUAUAGUAUUUUCUCUUGUUCCAAUUACUUUUACUGUUUUAACAAAUGUUAUAUUAUCUAUAAUAAUCUUUCCAAGUUCUGGAAAGUGCCAGCCAUACCAUUCACGACAACGCAUAACAUAGUUAUUUAAUUCUUUGUCUAAAUCAUCUAACAAAUAAACAGCUUGUAUUAUCAUUGUAUCAACUUUAUCGGGUGAAAAUUUCAAUUUGUAUCUAGAAAGGCUAUGUGCUAAACCUAAUGCCAUUGCCGUUAUUUCUUUUUUAUGUAAACCUGACAAUAAACUAUCCAUCUGGCUUCUUAUACAUCUCAUUAAUUCUUGUAUAGCAGUAUUACUGACACAAGAUAAACUCAGUUUAUCCUUUAUAGCAUUACCUAGCUUAGCGUCGGCCACAGCUAGUUGUUCUUGAAGUUCAUUACAAUGUUUUUUAAGAAUUUUCUUCAAUGCUUUGCACAGUUUACCCUCUACUGCUGCAGU